CAUUUCCUCCCCAGCUUAAGGGGAAAUGAUUGUUCUACUUCUUGGCAGCAGGUCUCCAAGAGGGAGGGGCCUGGCCACCUCUCUGGCCCAGAUGAAGUGUCAGCCACACUAACUAAACUGAAGGCUGGCUUGAACUAUGCUCUGCUGUCUCCUUGCCCUUCUCCUGGGCACUUUCUUGGGUGUCAGAACUCAGACCAUCCAUCAAUGGCCACCUACCAAGAUGCAGCUUGUGGACAGCCCACUUUCCCUGGAGUGCACCGUGAAGGGGACAUUUACCCCCACCCUAUACUGGUACCGGCAAGCUGCAGGGGGUGCCCUCCAGCUACUCUUCUACUCCGUUGGCAUUAACCAGAUAGAUCCAAAGGCACUCCAGAACUUCGCAGCCUCCAGGACCCAGGAUGACCAGUUUGUCCUGACUUCUAAGAAGCUCCUCCUUAAUGACUCUGGCUUCUACCUCUGCGCCUGGAGUCUCACACUGGUCUGGGUGGGGUAGACAUCUGUGCAAAAACCCCACCCUCUCCUGAGUCCUCACCACCUUCUCUGGGAGCCCUCACUCAGGGACUGGAUGGAGGAUAUUUGUCACUGGGUUUCUGACUGCCAGCCAAUGUGAGAGCAACUGAAUGAAGCCAGAUUCUCCAAAAGAACUUUACUAAGUUGUUAGGGAGAACAAAAUGAUUUAUGUGUACAGAACCUGUGAAUUGUGUACCUCUGGUCAAGUUCCCAACAUAUGGAUGUCUAGUCCUUGGCUAUCAUACCCCAGCCCUCAAAGUGUGCUAUACCUUACCUAACACUCUAUUCUCCAAAUUCCUGUUUGUCUAUGCUGGGGAGUAGGUUUGUGCAUAUGCGGGUGAGCGAGGUAGGAUACACCUGUAGUGGAGGUGGUAUGGUGGUGGACUGAUGGACAAAUGUGAGGAUGCCAACUCAGGUGGCUUAACUGGUUGAUUCUCAUCACCUGGAGAGUCUCCUUUCCUUGAUAUUUCUGUGGAGACUAGACAUCUUGUGGAGGCUUGGAUGAGGCUUUGAGUCAGGGAAGGGGCAUGGUGUUCAGUAGACUGUUCUCGCGUGGGCUAGAAGUGUGCACUUAGGGAUUUUGAUUAUUGUUUUGAGUUUUAGGUUUUUUUAAUUCCUGUUCCACUGUCUCUCAUCCCUUUCCUUGCAGCAAAAGAGAGAGCAGAGAAACAGAUGGUGAUCAAAGAGAUACAAAAGACCGGGUGAAGAAGAAGGCACACAUGUGUAAUGGUAAAACCCUAAA